rnacentral:rRNA from 1 species
AUUGAACGCUGGCGGCAUGCCUAACACAUGCAAGUCGAGCGGAUGAAGGGAGCUUGCUCCUGGAUUCAGCGGCGGACGGGUGAGUAAUUCCUAGGAAUCUGCCUGGUAGUGGGGGAUAACGUCCGGAAACGGGCGCUAAUACCGCAUACGUCCUGAGGUAGAAAGUGGGGGAUCUUCGGACCUCACGCUAUCAGAUGAGCCUAGGUCGGAUUAGCUAGUUGGUGGGGUAAAGGCCUACCAAGGCGACGAUCCGUAACUGGUCUGAGAGGAUGAUCAGUCACACUGGAACUGAGACACGGUCCAGACUCCUACGGGAGGCAGCAGUGGGGAAUAUUGGACAAUGGGCGAAAGCCUGAUCCAGCCAUGCCGCGUGUGUGAAGAAGGUCUUCGGAUUGUAAAGCACUUUAAGUUGGGAGGAAGGGCAGUAAGUUAAUACCUUGCUGUUUUGACGUUACCAAAAGAAUAAGCACCGGCUAACUUCGUG